rnacentral:rRNA from 1 species
AGAGUUUGAUCCUGGCUCAGGAUGAACGCUGGCGGCGUGCCUAAUACAUGCAAGUCGAACGGGCUGUAGCAAUACAGCCAGUGGCAAACGGGUGAGUAACACGUUGGUAACCUGCCCUUUGGAUUGGAAUACCGGGGAGAAAUCUCCGCUAAUGCCGGAUAUGUGCCGAGGUCGAUGGACUUCGGGACGAAAGGAUGCCGUAAGGCAUCGCCAGAGGAUGGGCCUGCGGCGCAUCAGCUUGUUGGCGGGAUAAAGGCCCACCAAGGCGAGGAUGCGUAGCCGGACUGAGAGGUCGGCCGGCCACAUUGGAACUGAGACACGGUCCAGACUCCUACGGGAGGCAGCAGUAGGGAGUAUUUGGCAAUGGGGGAAACCCUGACCGAGCAACGCCGCGUGGAUGAUGGAGGCCUUCGGGUUGUAAAAUCCUGUGGAGAGCUACCAAUGGCGAGCGUAGGCAAUGACGUUCGUUUGAGGAGCUUUCUAGAAAGCAACUGCUAACUACGUGCCAGCAGCAGCGGUAAUACGUAGGUUGCAAGCGUUAUCCGGAAUCAUUGGGCGUAAAGAGUGAGCAGGCGGCCAGAGAAGUCUGGGGUUAAAGGCAGGGGCUCAACCCCUGUCCGCCCCAGAAACCAUCUGGCUUGGAUGCGGGAGAGGCAAGUGGAACUCCAUAUGUAGCGGUGAAAUGCACAGAUAUAUGGAAGAACACCAGUGGCGAAGGCGGCUUGCCAGACCGAUAUCGACGCUCAGUCACGAAAGCGUGGGGAGCAAAUAGGAUUAGAUACCCUAGUAGUCCACGCCGUAAACGAUGGGAACCAGACGCCGGGCCGACCCGGCGUCGAAGCAAACGCAUUAAGUUCCCCGCCUGGGUACUACGUUCGCAAGAAUAAAACUUAAAGGAAUUGACGGGUGCCCGCACAAGCAGUGGAGCAUGCGGUUCAAUUCGUGGCUACACGAAGAACCUUACCAGGGUUUGACAUCCCGAUAAAGGCCCUAGAAAUAGGGAGAUAGUUAUAUCGGUGAAAGGUGGUGCAUGGCUGUCGUCAGCUCGUGUCGUGAGAUGUUAGGUCAAGUCCUCCAACGAGCGCAACCCCCGUCGUCAGUUGCCAUCAUCAAGUUGGGCACUCUGACGAGACCGCCGGCAACAAGCCGGAGGAAGGCGGGGAUGACGUCAAGUCAUCAUGCCCCUUAAGCCCUGGGCCACACGCGUGCUACAAUGGUCGGCACAAUGGGAAGCAACUGUGCAAACAGAAGCGGAUCCCAUAAAGCCGAUCUCAGUACGGAUUGAGGGCUGCAACUCGCCCUCAUGAAGCUGGAAUUGCUAGUAAUCGCGGAUCAGACAUGCCGCGGUGAAUACGUCCUCGGGCAUUGUACACACUGCCCGUCACACCAUGAAAGCCUGUAAUGCCUGAAGCCGGUUGCCUAACCCGUAAGGGAGGGCGCCGCCCAAGGCAGGACAGGUGAUUGGGGUUAAGUCGAAACAAGGUAUCCCUACGAGAACGUGGGGAUG